rnacentral:rRNA from 1 species
UACGUAGGGGGCAAGCGUUGUCCGGAUUUAUUGGGCGUAAAGAGCGUGUAGGCGGCUUGGUAGGUCCGUUGUGAAAACUCGAGGCUCAACCUCGAGACGCCGAUGGAAACCAUCUAGCUAGAGUCCGGAAGAGGAGAGUGGAAUUCCUGGUGUAGCGGUGAAAUGCGCAGAUAUCAGGAAGAACACCUAUGGCGAAGGCAGCUCUCUGGGACGGUACUGACGCUGAGACGCGAAAGCGUGGGGAGCGAACAGG